rnacentral:rRNA from 1 species
GAUGAACGCUGGCGGCGUGCCUAAUACAUGCAAGUCGAGCGAACAGACGCGGAGCUUUCUCCUCUGACGUUGACGGCGGAAGGGUUAGUAACACGCGGGUAACCUACCUAUAAAACUGUGAUAACUUCGGGAAACCGUAGCUAAUACCGGAUAAUAUAUUAAACCGGAGGGUUUAAUAGUUCAAGCCGGUUUUGCUGUCGAUUAUAGAUGAAUCGGCGCCGGAUUAGCUAGUUGGUAAGGUAACGGCUUACCAAGGCAACGAUGCGUAGCAGACCUGAGAGGAUGAUCGGCCACACUGGAACUGAGACACGGCCCAGACUCCUACGGGAGGCAGCAGUAGGGAAUCUUCCGCAAUGGGCGAAAGCUUGACGGAGCAACGCCGCGUGCGUGAUGAAGGUCUUCGGAUCGUAAAACUCUGUUAUUAGGGAAGAACAAGUGUGUAAGAAACUAUGCACGUCUUGACGGUACCUAAUCAGAAAGCCACGGCUAACUACGUG